AGAGUUUGAUCAUGGGCUCAGAACGAAACGCUGGCGGCGUGGAUAAGACAUGCAAGUCGGACGAGAUUUUUCGUUGUAGCAAUACGAUGGAAAGUCUAGUGGCGAACGGGUGCUUAACACGUGGGCAACCUGCCAUGAAGUGGGGGACAGCUCGCCGAAAGGCGAAUUAAUACCGCAUGUGAUUAGAGAGGACAUCCUUUCGAAAUUAAAGUCGGGGCAACCUGACGCUUCUUGUGGGGCCCGCGGCCUAUCAGCUAGUUGGUGAGGUAACGGCUCACCAAGGCUUUGACGGGUAGCUGGUCUGAGAGGACGACCAGCCACACUGGGACUGAGACACGGCCCAGACACCUACGGGUGGCAGCAGUCGAGAAUUUUUGACAAUGGGGGAAACCCUGAUCGAGCGACGCCGCGUGGAGGAUGAAGGUCUUCGGAUUGUAAACUCCUGUCAUUGGGGAACAAUGCACAGAUAUUAACUGUAUUUGUGUUGAUAGUACCCGAAGAGGAAGAGACGGCUAACUCUGUGCCAGCAGCCGCGGUA
rnacentral:rRNA from 1 species